CCCUGGGUGGCUUAGUCAGUUAAGCAUCUGACUUUAGCUCAGGCCAUGAUUUCAUAGUUUGUGGGCUCAAACCCCACGUCGGGCU
rnacentral:tRNA from 1 species